GUGUCUGUAGCCUUCUGUUUUUGGGAGUUCCCUUAACCUGCCUGACUUUACCUGCAGGGUUGCACUUUGUCCCUGCUGUACCAGGCUACAGACUCUGGCCUAAGGGCAGUUUGUGUUGGUUGUGCCAACGGUCAAACAAAACCUGGAGGAACUCUAGGAGCCUUCUGUGGCGGACUUCAUAACAUGCACAGAUCCUUCUCCUUCUUCAUCAAUCCUCCCAUCAACCGUAGCGGAUGUUGCAUCUAGUGCAAUAUAUAUUGCAUGAGCUACCUGAAUUCAAGGGGAACAUGUCCAUGGUUCUUCACCAUAAGRAGAAGUGGAGUGCUCAGACAGACCCCCAGCCUCCUCUAGACAGCCUGCAGCUUUYUGAAACCAGCACCACUGGAGCUGGAGAUGAACCCGUAGCUGCUGUGAUUAAAAAGAGAUCACGGAUGCGGAUGGAGCUGCUGCAAAGCACUUCAAAGAGUCUCCCAUUUUGAAGUGCAUCUGGGUAAAGGGGAACAAAGGGAACUAUGCUAAUAUUCAGUUAUCUGCUCUGUUCAUUGGUAUUUAUUUAUUCUUUCCUUUAAGAUGCAUCUUGCAGCUGUGAGGAACUGAAGUGUGGACUUAGAAAGUAGAGAGAAACCAAAUAUAUYCUCUAAAUGGAGUAUAUAACUCUAAGCAGACUGCCAAGUCUGGCUUUUUCCUGUGCAGUGCUUUGUGUGUCUAAUAAAAUGUUGUAUUUUGAGCAAUAUAGUGUUCUCAGCCUAAAACUUCCAUACAUGUCCAAGUAUGUACCAUGACAGGGAGUACUAUGAACUCUGARUUUCAUGAAUAUGUAAAACUACUUACAAAAAAAUAUCUGAAAGUAAUCUGGAGUUAUAGCUCUCAAAGUCGAUAAAAGGGCAUUUUACUGAGAGGCUUUGAACACCUGCAACAUCUC